AUUGAACGCUGGCGGCAGGCCUAACACAUGCAAGUCGAGCGGAUGAAGGGAGCUUGCUCCUGGAUUCAGCGGCGGACGGGUGAGUAAUGCCUAGGAAUCUGCCUGGUAGUGGGGGAUAACGUCCGGAAACGGGCGCUAAUACCGCAUACGUCCUGAGGGAGAAAGUGGGGGAUCUUCGGACCUCACGCUAUCAGAUGAGCCUAGUUCGGAUUAGCUAGUUGGUGGGGUAAAGGCCUACCAAGGCGACGAUCCGUAACUGGUCUGAGAGGAUGAUCAGUCACACUGGAACUGAGACACGGUCCAGACUCCUACGGGAGGCAGCAGUGGGGAAUAUUGGACAAAGGGCGAAAGCCUGAUCCAGCAAUGCCGCGUGUGUGAAGAAGGUCUUCGGAUUGUAAAGCACUUUAAGUUGGGGGGAAGGGCAGUAAGUUAAUACCUUGCUGUUUUGACGGUACCAACAGAAUAAGCACCGGCUAACUUCGUG
rnacentral:rRNA from 1 species